rnacentral:rRNA from 1 species
GACGAACCGUGCGAACGUUGUUCGGAUUCACUGGGCUUAAAGGGCGCGUAGGCGGACUCGCAAGUCUGUGGUGAAAGCCCCCAGCUCAACUGGGGAAGUGCCGUGGAUACUGCAAGUCUGGAGGAGGGUAGGGGCAUCUGGAACGCUGGGUGGAGCGGUGAAAUGCGUUGAUACCCAGCGGAACUCCGGUGGCGAAGGCGAGGUGCUGGACCCUUUCUGACGCUGAGGCGCGAAAGCCAGGGGAGCGAACGGG